rnacentral:lncRNA from 1 species
ACUAUAUUUGAGUUCGGCUCCAGUCUUGCAUUGACAGUAUAGCGAAGCAGCGUAACCUACUCUGGAGUGUCGCAGAAUUUCACUAAAGCGAUUUAAUUUAACAAUAAAAAUCGGCUAAAAACAUUUACAAUUUUUUACAUCUGUACUGUUAAUUCGAAUAAAGAGUUUUGAGCAAAUACAAUUUUCCGAAAAUAUGAAACUACAGAUCUUCUUAUUUGUGUUCGUCAUAAUGGCUGCAUUUGGAGCUCCCAUGCACGGCGUUGCCACAAAAAAACUUGAACUUGCGACCGCUCCAAAUCAAGCAAGAAUAUUUUUCGGGAAAAAAGAGAAAUGCCGUCAUCGAAUCUGCCACUAACGGUGAAAAGCAUCGUGACUAUUUCUCAAUGGCUGACGGCCAUUAAAGUGUUCAGUCGAGAAAAAUAAUGGACCACACCGAAUUCAGGAAUGACUGCUCCUUCAUUAGUAAUGGUGCGAUGUGUAAUGGUGUUUUCAUUAAAUUCAAAUUCUAAA